GGCUCUGUUGUGAACAUGGAAAUACCAUCAUCUUCUACAACAUUCAUUCACCAGUAAAACCCAUGGAGUUGGAUCAAUAACACUGGAUGGAGACGUUUGUUUUAUGUUCGGGAGAUGAUAGAUUUGCUGAAAAAGUCACUUUUUCUUC